AGAGAGAGACAUGCGCGCAUAUCAAUAAGCGGAGGAAAAGAAACUAACAAGGAUUCCCCUAGUAACGGCGAGUGAAGCGGGAAGAGCUCAAAUUUGAAAUCUUAAAGGGUUUCCCUUUACGAAUUGUAGUUUAAAGAAGUGUUUUCUGUUGAGGUUUUGGUAAAAGUUCUUUGGAAUAGGACAUCAUAGAGGGUGAGAAUCCCGUAUUUGACCUUUACUUUCAACUUUGUGAUACACUUUCAAAGAGUCGGAUUGUUUGGGAAUGCAGUCCAAAAUGGGUGGUAAAUUUCAUCUAAAGCUAAAUAUUGGCGAGAGACCGAUAGCGAACAAGUACCGUGAGGGAAAGAUGAAAAGAACUUUGAAAAGAGAGUUAAACAGUACGUGAAAUUGUCAAAAGGGAAGCGUUUGACACCAGUGUUGUUUUUCUGAAAAUCAAUUAAAGAACUGUUUAUGCUAAGUUGUUUAGACUUUAUCAGCUAUCUGUUUAGUUUUGAGCUUUUCUUUAAUGCACUUUUCAGUUAACAAGUCAACAUCAAUUUCUUUUGCUGUAAAAAAGCUUGAGGAAGGUGGCUUGAGAUUCGUCUUAAGUGUUUAUAGCCUCUUGCCUAUGCAGUCGGAGAGAUUGAGGUCUGCAGCGUAGAUCCUUCGGGGCUAAAUGCAUUUGUGCUAAGUUAUAGCAUUUUAUAGACAACUUGUUGACUAUGAUUUGUCUUGCUAGCUUACUCGCUUAUGUUAUUUUACCUACGCUUAGGAUGUUGAGCGCAUGUCUCUCUCU
rnacentral:rRNA from 1 species